rnacentral:lncRNA from 1 species
GAAAUACAGCCAUCGCCGCCACCAUUCCAACACCGGUUCUCUUGAGCGGGAUGAAGUCUUUGUGCCCAAACAGAAGUCCAGCAUCUAUUGGUACUCCAAAUACCUUAGCAACAACCCACUAGGCAGAGUCCUCACCAUUACCAUCACCCUCACUCUUGGCUGGCCCCUUUACCUGGCUCUCAAUGUUUCAGGCAGGCCUUAUGAUAGAUUUGCUUGCCACUUUAACCCACAUGGUCCCAUUUA